CAAUUGAUCCCACAGACUCUUUUUAGUCUUUAAGAUAAAAAUGGUGGGUUGGUUUAGAGUGUUGGACAGAUUUACGUAAGACUCCCUUAGGCGAUGUUUGG